rnacentral:rRNA from 1 species
UGCAUUCACCGAAAGAAGCUUAGUGGCGAACGGGUGAGUAACACGUAGGCAACCUGCCCAAAAGAGGGGGAUAACACUUGGAAACAGGUGCUAAUACCGCAUAACCAUGAACACCGCAUGAUGUUCAUGUAAAAGACGGCUUUUGCUGUCACUUUUGGAUGGGCCUGCGGCGUAUUAACUUGUUGGUGGGGUAACGGCCUACCAAGGUGAUGAUACGUAGCCGAACUGAGAGGUUGAUCGGCCACAUUGGGACUGAGACACGGCCCAAACUCCUACGGGAGGCAGCAGUAGGGAAUCUUCCACAAUGGACGAAAGUCUGAUGGAGCAACGCCGCGUGAAUGAAGAAGGCCUUCGGGUCGUAAAAUUCUGUUGUCAGAGAAGAACGUGCGUGAGAGUAACUGUUCACGUAUUGACGGUAUCUGACCAGAAAGCCACGGCUAACUACGUGCCAGCAGCCGCGGUAAUACGUAGGUGGCGAGCGUUGUCCGGAUUUAUUGGGCGUAAAGGGAACGCAGGCGGUCUUUUAAGUCUGAUGUGAAAGCCUUCGGCUUAACCGAAGUAGUGCAU